UUGCGUAGGUGGUUAUGUAAGUGAAUAGUGAAAUCUGGUGGCUCAACCAUACAGGCUAUUAUUCAAACUACAUAACUCGAGAAUGGUAGAGGUAACUGGAAUUUCUUGUGUAGGAGUGAAAUCCGUAGAUAUAAGAAGGAACACCAAUGGCGUAGGCAGGUUACUGGACCAUUUCUGACACUAAGGCACGAAAGCGUGGGGAGCGAACG
rnacentral:rRNA from 1 species